GACGAACGCUGGCGGCGCGCCUAACACAUGCAAGUCGAACGGGGCUUAACGGAAUGAAGUUUUCGGACGGAAUGAAGAUAAGCUUAGUGGCGAACGGGUGAGUAACACGUGAGCAAUCUGCCUUCGAGAGGGGGACAACAGUUGGAAACGACUGCUAAUACCGCAUAAGACCACAGCCUCGCAUGGGGCAGGGGUCAAAGGAGAGAUCCGCUUGAAGAUGAGCUCGCGACCGAUUAGAUAGUUGGUGAGGUAACGGCCCACCAAGUCGACGAUCGGUAGCCGGACUGAGAGGUUGAACGGCCACAUUGGGACUGAGACACGGCCCAGACUCCUACGGGAGGCAGCAGUGGGGAAUAUUGCACAAUGGGGGAAACCCUGAUGCAGCGACGCCGCGUGGAGGAAGAAGGUCUUCGGAUUGUAAACUCCUGUUGUUAGGGACGAUAAUGACGGUACCUAACAAGGAAGCACCGGCUAACUACGUG
rnacentral:rRNA from 1 species